rnacentral:lncRNA from 1 species
CAAAUAGUAGGAUAAUAUCUUACUACGAACAUAUUUACAUUUAUUCUUCACACUUAAGAGACAUCUAAUCCUGCAAUUUUGUAGAUCGAGAGCACUUUGCUAUAUUCUAAGCACUGAAUAAACCAUUGUCUAGUGUCAUAUAUGACAGCAUCGAUAAUACUAGUCGAUUAAAAAUUUGUGUACUAAAACACGAUUUUCGGAAGCACGCCAUAGUGUUGUCGAUAUAAUGGAAUUGAAAGCGACUGUUAUACAGGUGAGAGGAUCAGCUAGCUAUAAUAAAAUUAAUGGUACCAAUUUUGUUGCACCAGAUGCGCAUUUCGACAAUACAUGUCUCUUCAGUGAUGCUCGUGGCCGAAAUAUUUUAAACCCAAAGCUUAUAUAAAAAAUGAAGAGCUUUAAUCCAAAAGGCC